CGUAGGGUGCAAGCGUUAAUCGGAAUUACUGGGCGUAAAGCGUGCGCAGGCGGUUUUGUAAGUCUGUCGUGAAAUCCCCGGGCUCAACCUGGGAAUUGCGACGGAGACUGCAAGGCUAGAAUCUGGCAGAGGGGGGUAGAAUUCCACGUGUAGCAGUGAAAUGCGUAGAGAUGUGGAGGAACACCGAUGGCGAAGGCAGCCCCCUGGGUCAAGAUUGACGCUCAUGCACGAAAGCGUGGGGAGCAAACAGGAUUAGAUACCCUGGUAGUCCACGCCCUAAACGAUGUCUACUAGCUGUCGGGUUUUAAUUAACUUGGUAACGCAGCUAACGCGUGAAGUAGACCGCCUGGGGAGUACGGUCGCAAGAUUA
rnacentral:rRNA from 1 species